ensembl:lncRNA
GGGGACCGGUAGAGGAGUCCAACGAGGGUUGUAGAGUGGCCAGACAAAUAAUAAGAAAUAGAAAGAGCAGUUUCCUCCUCCACGAGACGGAGAUAAGCGCAGAGCUGAUCUCCCGGGAUUAAAUGAGUGACUGUGCAAAGUACCAGAAGAGUGUGCGUCAGCCCAGAGGAAGCGUAAUGUGGAUGUCAGCUGCUGGCGGUCCACAGCAGGCCCAGGGGCUGAGGCAGGAGGCCGACGCUGUGCCGGCCGGCAGCCACGUGGCAGAUCUGGACCUGCCUGCCCUUUGGCCUCCAGUGGACUUGGGAGGGGCAGGAAGUAAGGAGGAGAUGGAAUAAAUUCGCCAGAGUUCUGG